UAGACAUAGUUUAACGAAAACAUCAAGUUGUGGACUUGACCACAG
rnacentral:tRNA from 1 species